rnacentral:miRNA from 1 species
AAAAUCUGAGUGAACUUUUUGG